rnacentral:misc_RNA from 1 species
AUCGAACUGAAACCCUAAUGCAACUCUACAAAACCUUCAUUUUCUUCCUUUUUCUUUUUCCUCAGUAGCACAGCACGCGGAGGUUAAAGAGACGGCGCUGUCUUGCUGUCCGCCUUGACCAAGCCGUAGCUUCGUCUUGGCCCUAUAGUUUUAUUGGAUCAUACUCUCGUCCUAGUUAGAAUCUUCUGUGUUUUUGUUCUUGCAAAAUCAGGAUAAAAUGUCUGGAAAACCAUCCAAAGCUGAUAAGAAGAUUGCUUACGAUGCUAAGCUCUGCCAGUUGCUCGACGAGUACAGCCAGAUCUUGAUUGUGGCGGCAGAUAAUGUUGGGUCGAACCAGCUCCAGAACAUUAGGACGGGUCUUAGAGGUGACUCUGUGGUUCUCAUGGGAAAGAAUACCAUGAUGAAGAGGACCAUUAGAGUCCAUUCUGAGAAGACUGGCAACAACGCUUUCCUUAACCUCAUCCCCCUCCUUCAGGGUAACGUGGGACUGAUUUUCACCAAAGGUGAUCUCAAGGAAGUGAGCGAAGAGGUUGCCAAGUACAAGGUGGAGCAACUGAUCUCUUUUUGAUUGAUUCUCUUCAUAUGACAUUUUAUUGCUGUCGGAAUGUUGAUUUUUCUUGAUUGUCUUCAGUAGUAAUUCUGCUGAUAUUGUAAAUCUCAAUAAUUUUAUGUAAUAGCAUAAAUCGACUUUGGGAACCGUGGAUAAUUUUGAAUUUAGAAUCUUUCUUAAAUUUAGUUCUUGUUGUUGACAAUAUUAGCAUAUUUACUAGGCAGUCAAUCAGAACAUUAUAAAGUUUUGAAAUGCAUUCUUGCUGUUAUGUCAUAUGUGGCAUUUAUGGACCAGGUGUAGCAGUAACGUUGUCUGAAACUUUUGGGAAAGCAUAUUUUGUCUGAAAGUUGUUUGUUUAUGCUUCAAUGGGUCAUUUAAUGGAGAGUUAAUUUUUUUUUUGUUUUAAUCAAAAUACUGCAUUUAGAAUCUUCUCGUCAAAUCAAGAUUGAAGACUAUCUGCUGAAAUUUUUAGCUCAAAGUUAGUAGAAAGUUUCAUAGGGAAUGUUUAGAUUGAAUUACAGAUGAUGGAUUAUCCCAAUUGCUGUUAAAGGCUGAUAUCGUUUGCUUGUGUAACAUGAUAUCUUAAUUAAAUGGCAUUGCCAAGUGUCUGGUUUAUUUAUAUCUAUAUGAUAUUCACUUAAGUUAAUGUGUACACGUACUUGUUCAAAUGUUCCCUUUAAUUCCUUCUUUUGAUUCACCAAUAGAAUGAGAGUUAGUGAAAAUGUGUUAGUUUCUUUAAGUUUUGGUGGCUUGAGAAGACAACUACCAGUACUUUGAAUAGGUAUUACUCUUCUCAUCCACGGUUUGUUUAUAGUAACUGUUGCCAAUAUUAACUUUCCAUCUUUUGAUUUUACUGUGGAUAGAGAAUCACAUUAGGUUGACAUAUAUGCCUUGUUCUGGUAUGAUUACACAUUAUAUGGCUAUGUGUUUGUCACUUGUGCUAUUUAAGGCGUUUUCUUUUUCAACUGAAAUUUCCAUUGUGUUUUCUGUUAUGAAUGAUCAGGUUGGAGCUCCUGCUCGUGUUGGUUUAGUUGCCCCAAUUGACGUCGUUGUCCCACCUGGCAAUACUGGGCUCGACCCGUCCCAGACCUCUUUCUUCCAGGUGCUGAAUAUUCCCACCAAGAUUAACAAGGGUACUGUGGAAAUUAUUACCCCUGUGGAGCUUAUUAAGAAGGGGGAAAAGGUCGGCUCUUCUGAGGCUGCUC